rnacentral:lncRNA from 1 species
UGUCUUCACCACCUAUGAUAAUGAUCUUAUUAUUCCAAGACGAACAGGAAUGGCUCUCACGCUUACAUGGGGGAGUGCCUGAUGGCGCAAUGCAUUUCCAAACAUAUGUCUCUGCCAAAUGAGAAGAAGCAUUAAAAAAAGUUUAUGAAAUAACCACCACCAGGAUCACUAGCUCCCCACCCCCUCCCCGGCGUGCACUCUUCUCUCUCUCAUGUGUGUGUAUAUAUGAGAUUAAAAACCAUCAACUUCAUAGGAAAGAAAACCAAGAGCUGUAUGAGAUCUAAAAACUGGAUCCCUAACAACUGUGCAAGACCUGAGUGAUUUAAGUAGCAGUAGAAUACAAAAUGCAUAUGAACAAUAGGAUAAGAACAAUGUGAGUGCACCUUUGAAGAGAUCGUCUAACUUUCUCUCAGAUUAUAAACUACUAGAGACGGGAGGUUUCUUUUCCGAGGAGUUGCAAUGCUUAGGGUUCAAUUCCUAAGAGAACUAAAAUUUUGAGACAGAAACGACUGGCUGAUGCCUCCUAUUUUUCUUCACCUUCCUCUUCCAUUAUUACGCUCAAGUCAUAAUGCAAAAUUCACCGUACUAGCUAACUGCAGUCUACCAUUAGCCACCUUAAUAACAGAGCGAGAGAGAGACAGAGAGAGAGAGAGAGAGAGAGAGAGAGAGAGAGAGAGAGAGAGAGAGAGAGCUGUAUUCAAUACAUAAACAUCAUCAUAGUAUAUUUCAGUGUCAUCAUAUUUGCCGCAUCCACCAAAUAUGAAAAGCCGUUUUCCAAUAAGUGCUGCACUGUGGCCUUCCCUUGGAUUAGGG